AAACAGUGCUAAUUCCUUCCCUGAAACAAGGACUAGACAACAAAUUUUUCCCCUCACAGAAAUGGCUGAAGGCAGUUUGAAAGUUCUGGAGGUUGGAAGUUUAAGAUCAAGAAGCAAGAACAUUGUGUCUGGUAAGGCUUGCUCUGGGGUUCACAGAUAAGGUAAGGUAACUGUCUGGAACUUCUUUUACAGGACAGUAAUACCACUCAUGAAAGCUCUACCCUCCCCAAAGACCCCACUUUCUAAUACCAUUACUUUAGGGGUCCAUAUUUCAACAGAUGAAUUUUGGGGUGGGGUAGAACAUGAACGAUCACACCUCAGUACUGACUGCCUAUGUGACUGGAUAGCCAGGCUUUUCUCCCUGACUACCUGCCCACAGGCAUGGUCUUUUGGAAGUUUUGCUUCUGCUUCAACACUUGGAUUUCUGGCCAAAGAUUGGUUCAGAUUUUUAGGAAACCUGCAAUUGAGAGCUCUGGAAAAUGAGAGUUGUGGUUUGCUGAGUGAUGCUAAUAUUAGCAUGUUAAAAAUGAGGAUCACACUUUGUUGCUGAAGUCCUCACACUUGCUGAAUGGAGUCUUUUGUAAUUCCUUAAUAUCUUUCCAAUAAAUUCUUCAACAAUUUUAGAAUAAUUUUUAUAUUUCUUGCAACAAACUAUCUUUAAUACAACUGGUUUUGGAUAAAAAGUUUUUCCAGAGCUAUUUUCCCCUUCCUACUUCUUCUGUAGACAGCUGUCCCAAUCAAGAGGAGCUUUCUGGUUGCACAGACUGAAUUAUCAGCUCCAUUCAGGAAUUCUCUCCAGAGACUCUGCUCGCCUCCUCUGGAUAUCAUUUCUAAGGAACUAGGGGGACAUUUUGGUUAGUAGUGUUUAUCUUUUUAAAAAUAGCUGGAUUUUCUAUCAAAAUAAUGUCUCAUAUAACAACAAGGAUUAGUAAGUGACAUUAGCUGACAACAGAAAAUAUUUAAGUCCUUAGCAGUCAAAUUAUAAAACUUAUGCUAUCGAGAUGAUGAGGAAGGAAAUGGAUUUAUGUUCAAAGAAGACACAGACUUUGGAAAAUUCACUUUCAUUCUUUUGGAAAAGUACUACGUAUUAGUAGUAGUUUUGUUUGAAUACCCAAGAAUUCUAAUUAUGCUCAAUUUCACAUCAGAAAUAUAAAUCUAUUUCCAUUUUGAAAGUAGGAUAGUACUUCUUUCUUCUUUUUUACAUACUCUGAAAUAAUAAAUUCCUAUUCUGAAAGAACAGACAAAUUCCGAGGCAGGCUGCUUUGUUGACUUCCUCCCUUUGUUCACUUAUAUUAUUAGCUUUAUUUUUUGAACUAUAUUCUUUAUUUCAUUUUUAUUAUGGUUGAAGUCCUUUAUCUCCAAAUAGCUUUUCAACAGAGGUUGAAAAAGUAGAAAUGCCUGAGGGAAAAGUGCUAAUGAUUUUUUUUUUAGUGAGACAUCAGGAAUGUGUUUGGGCUUCCAUCCUCCAUUUGUUCCCACUUUCUGCAUGAGAGACACAGGAUGAUGUUUGAAUGAUUUGAAUGAGGUGGGGUCACAGGUACAGUCUACAGAGUGCUCUUAAAUAUACCUUCAUACUGUUAGUUAGCAGCUUUAUCAACUCUGUGUCCUAUGCUUUAAAUACCUAUCCAUCUGGUUCAGGUGAGAACUGAGAAAGAAGAGGAAAGUGGAAUUUUUCCCUGAUAGAGUAGCAAGUCAACGAUGACUUCAGGAACAAACUCUCAAAUGCGACAGUUUCCAUCUUGAAAGGUAUGACUACUCUCUUUUGCAAAAUACUUGAGAGAAUAAAAAUUCUUCAUUCUGGAGGAAUGAAGACAGAAAUUCUGAGCCAGGCUCAGAAUCAAAGUGGUACCAAGCAGCAGGUCCUCACCCGCAAAGGUGCAGCUUCCCGAAGUGCACGACCUCCCUCCUCCAGCCCUGGGUGGUCCCCGCGUAGUAGGUGCUGCUAGGGUGGUGCUCAGUGGAGCAUAAGGAGCUGACGUGGCUGCUGCUGUGGUAGCAGAGGGGAAGCAGCAGGUGCCAAGUGGCCCCAAAGUCCCUUGAAAAUUCCAGUCUGACUGGAUCAGUAGAUGAGCUAUCAGUGGAGCAUCCAACAUUGAUCUUGGGAUAAAAGAAAAAAUGAUACAAAUUAUCUCAGAGCGACAAGCCUUGAAAUGAUUCACCACUUCAUUAUUUUCCAGAGAGUCCAUUUUCCUGGGAGCUGUCUCACUGAAAUAUUUAACACUGUAAGAUUCUGUUUUGCCUGAGCAAUAUCAUAUAUUUCCUUUAAAUUACAUUUUUUUUCAUAAAGAACCUCAAAAGACCUCAUGAAAAAUUUAUUUUCCCUCAUUUUAUGAGAAACCAGGAAGUGAAUAAGGCAAAAAGCUGGGAGAAUUCCAAAUUUUACCUUUCGCCUAUUUUCAUAACCAAACCAAGCAAUUUGUAAUAAAAAGAGUUGUUUCCCUAAUCCUGUCAGCUUCUCCCCCUAGUCUGUUAGGGAGGAAUGCUUUCUGUUUUUCCUCUUCUGAUACCUUCUAAGAAAUCCCAGAAGUUAUACAUAUGGAGGGUCUUCAACAAUAUUCAAUAUCAAAACAAAACAGAAUACGAUCGAUAUUAUUUCCCUGGCACAAGGAAAGAGGUUUUUUUUCCUCCUCAGAUAUAUGUAGUUAAGGUGGACAGGGCUGUUUUGAAAAUAUACCCAGUGAAAUGACCACUAGAGUUAAGCAAAUUAAUCUGUCCAUUGCUUCCAUGGUUACCCUUUUUAUUUUUAAAAAAAAUUAAAAUAUAUUUUUUAUAACUUUAUUCAUUCACUCACUCAUUCAUUCAUUCAUUCAUUCAUUUUUAUGUGGUGCUUACCCAUGGUAGGCAAGUGCUCUACCACUGAGCUAUAACCCCAGUCCUCCACAGUUACCUUUUGAUGUGUGUUGGGAUGUGUGUGUGGGGUAAGAACAGCUAAAAUCCACCCUCUUACCAAAAUUCAGUACACAUUACAAUAAUAUUUUCAACUAUAAUCCUCAUGCUGUACACUAGGUCUCUAGUUUAUUAAUCCUACAUAACUGUGAGUUUGUAUCCUUUGACCUACUCCCAUUUCCUUCUCAUCUGACCCCGGAUAACCUGCUUCUAUGUAAAAACCUUUAUACCAUGAGAGAAAAACAACUACUUCAUCCCCUGAACCAAGGCUUUCAAGGGCAAUAAGCUAAAACUUACAUGCAUGUGAUUCUUCCUGUGAAAACAUCCCCUUCAGAUUGAGAUGAACAUUUUCUAUCAUGCCAUCACAGCCACUGGUUAAUGAUAUGCAGUUUGUAUGUGUACAUAUGUUUACUCUUUUUACUUUUUGAUGAGUAAACUACUGGUAUUUGAUAAACUUUUCAACUAUAGAUACUUUCUUCUACUUUGAAUUCAUUAGUAACAACUCUUAAAAGAGACAAAGGUAUGACCUUUUAAUUAGCAUUUAAAGCAUAAAAUAAGAUUAGAAAAUAUAGCAAAGUUUACAAAAUAAUUUCUCCACUACCAUUUGGUUUUUAACUUCUGAAAUUGCAACCAAUAACUCUAAUGUCGAGAAUGCAGAGGGAAAGUCUAAAAUAUUCAAAACUGUGCUGACACAAUUAGGCACUAUUUUAAAUAAGUCUGCUGAUUGGUUGAUACAGACCUCAGCUAUGAAAUUCUGUUAUAAUGUACCUUUGUUUCUGUGGAUUUUAUCCAAGAUUUUGAAAUAUGUAAAGGUUUUUAUGUUGUUAAUCUGUUUUCUUGACAAACAUAAGGAGUAUGAAAAUAUUAACAAAAUACACAGCAAAUUUCUUUAAAAUGAUAAAACAGUGCAGUAUUGUUUUAUCUGUAAAAUCCAUAUUAGUGUGAAAAUGUAUAUAGACAUUGAUUUGGGUCCUAAGAAAUAUCAAGUUUCACAUGGAAACUGAAUAUAAUAAUAUCAGAAUAUGAUCCUUUUCAUUUUUAUAAUGGUCAAAAUAAUUUAUUUCAACAAUUUAUUGUAGUAGGUGGGGACACUAUGUCAUCGAUAAAAGACAGAAACUCAGAAAUAAAUGUUGGUAUGACAUUAUUAGCUCUGCUAGUAAAAGUGAAUUAUUACUCCAAAAUCUCUUAUGCCCUUGCACAAAAAUGGAAGUCAUAAUGCAUGAAAUUAUCUGAAUUUUCCCUCUACUUUUGUAGCUUUUGUUCAAGAUAAAACAAAAAAUAUUUUCCCAUUUUUUUAAAUUGCUGCAUUUUAGAGGGAUUAGUUGUUACUUAUUUGUACAUGCACACAAUAUAAUAAUAUAAUUUGGCUGAUAUUAUUCCCCAGUAUUUCCACUUUCCCUCCCCUGCUCCCUCCUUCUGGUCCCUUUCCUUUAUUCUACUGAUCUUCCUUUGAUUUUCAUGAGAUCCCUCCAUCUCCUUUCUUUUCCUCUUUACUCUCCACAUGAGAGAAAACAUAUGACCCUUGACUUCUGAGUUUGGCUUAUUUUACUUAACAUAAUAUUCUCAAAUUCUAUCCAAAAGUUUUAAGUAUUCCUGAUAGAAUCAAGUUAAAUACCUCAAAUUGUAUUAUGGUGUUCUCAUUCACAUUGAGGUCACGGGUGGUAAUCGAGUGUUCACCGACUUCAUUAGAAACGAACACCAUCGCUGAAUCUUCCUCACUGUUAUUCAACAAACAAACAAACAAACAAACAAACAAAGCACAAUAAGGAAUCCACUUAGGUAAGAAUUCAUCAGGAUUUGUAUAGAGCAGUAGUUUUAUUUUUACCUUCUCAAUUAAAUACUUACGGUGCUCCCUUUGAAGAAUAGGGGCAAUAAAGACCAAUGUUACCGCCAGGAUAGAAAAACCAAUUGUCUUCUCUGGGCCCAAAGUCAAAUGUAUCCAGAAGCAUUACAGGGUUGUUCAGAUUAUUUCCAUCAAUAAUAAAAUCAUCAACAAUCCAGAUCUCUUCUUUCUUACCUAAGGCAUUUUUAGAUAAAAGCAAGUUUUUCCAAAGAUGAAAAUCAGAUGGACAUUUUUGCUCAUUGGAAGAAAGUAAAGGACGGAAGGAACUCAGUAACAAUAGGUCAAACAUAUGCCUUCUAGACAAAACCCACAAACGAUAUGACAGCGUGUUCACAGUGAUCAAAGUGUGAAGAAAUUUAAGCUUGCAACCAUAAUAAAUUGACACGGCACAGAAAUGCCUCGCUAAUUUCAGAAAGCGUUAACAAAUGGCUUGUGGGAGUGUGCUGUCCUUCCAGUUACAGUAGCAUUACGCAGGGUAGGGUCUGAGUCGUUUGUGGUUUGGGGAAAUCUGUAAGAUGUCUGCUCUGUGGAGAGGGGCAGUCGGACUCAGAACCAGGAAUAGUAACUAGUCUACUCAAGGAGCCACUUGUGACUGGGUCAAACCAUGACUUAGCAACAGGAUUAAUUUAGGUGGAAGGACUAUGGCCCUUAAAACACUGCCCCGGUAGAUAAAUAAAUAAACAAUUAGAUGCAGUUAACACAAAGGAAAAAUAUUCUAAUAUAUAAUGCUUAAUUUUUCCUUAAUGGUUUUCAAAAUCUCCAAAGCUUAUUUAAAGAUAUGCGGGAAUAUAUAGAGAAUUAGUGUGUCAUACGAUUUGACUCAGUGACGUAGGCCAGGUGUUUAAGGAAUAUGCCGCAGGGCUGAUGAGAAGGCAAAACCCAGGCUGCUUUUACAAAGCACUGUCUGGACUGAAUUUGAAGCAAGCUGAUAAAACCAGGCCAAGUAGAAAUGUCAAGAUUCCUUCUAGCUGGCUUCUUUCUACAUUUAGUACAAUUCUCACAAAAUAUAAAAAAGGGUCUAUAAAAGAAGCCUGCAGAAUUAACGUAAUACUUUAAAUGAAAUGUGUUGAAUUUACUCUAAUGCUUUGUUUCCUUAUUUUUGAAGUGGCUGGUAAUACAAUUAAAAACAAAAACCCUGUGAGCAUUCCAAACACAGUAUGGAGACAGCAAGCUUCUGGAUUUUGAACUGGUUAUAUUCAUUUUUUGUAUUUUUAUUUAUUGAUUAUACAGGAGAUAUACAUACAUACACACACACACAUACACUCACACACAUAUAUACACACAAGACAUCUAUAUCUACCUGUAGACCUAUACAUACAUAAAUAAUCCUAUAUAAUAUCAUAUAUAUUUAUGAUAAUUAAUUUAGAUGAAAAUCAUCAUAAUUUUAUAUAUUUUUUUCAAAAUAAGCUAAAAUUUUAUGUCUUAAUAAAGAGAUACUCAUACUUUAGAGAUGGAAGUACUUCUUUCUUCUUCAUUUCUGUAUUACCUCUGCAAAGAAUUCUGCUUAAUGUGGUAUCUCUGUGCUUAUUUGGGCAAUUACAUACAUGAUUUAGUAAAUUCUGGUUCUUUGUAAUCAACAGUUAAUAGAAAUAUUGGAAGCAAUAAAACAUUACACAUUACAAUCAUUUUUUGUAACCAUUUGAAAAUGCCAUUAAAUUAUACAUUCACUUUAACUUAUCACUGAAGCAAGUGUAUGUGGCAAGAUAUUCUAUUGGGCACAUGAACUGCUUUGUCUGAGUGCUUUUCCCUUGGCCAUGGUGUUUUGCUAUCAUGUUCUAUUUCACUAAGGAAAUGACAAAAUCAGAACCAUUCCUAAAUGAAUUCAACAAAAAUGCACUUACAACCAAUGAAUGCCUAAUGAUAAUGCUGGAUGUUUAAAAAAGAAUAUUAGCUCUGUGUCAGGAUUCAGCUGUAUUUAACCAUCAGGAGAGCUUACUAGUCAAGUAUGCAGAGGUGAUAAAGAUACAUAAAGUUAAGUAUUCAUUGAGACAGGUCAAAAGUGAGGCAUGUACCACACGUGUGCUGUGGACAGCUAAGUCCCUGGGUUGACACUCUGAGUCUCCACUCCUGAGAAAUAAGUAUGUUAACAUUCCAAAGGUAAUUUUGAUCACAGAUAAACACAUGCAUUUUUACCAUUAUUAUAAGGUUGCCAAAGUCUGAAUCUUGUAGCAUUGGUUUGGGCACCGUAUGGCAAGGGAACAUUAAUGAAAAGUAUAUUGGUCGUUUGAGGGAAGUAAAAUUCAUCCAUCAGGUGCCAAGUGAUUCCUCCAUUGAUAGAAAAUUGUAGCAAAACAGAGUGAGACCUCUCUGGGGUACCUAGGAAGAAGAUAACAAAGGCAUAACAUGUAUUGUGAUAAAAACGGGGAAAUAGUAUGUUUGUAGCUAUUCUUCUAGCAUCAAUUCAUGAGCUGGUUUACGUUUACAUAGAGGUUUUAUAGUUCAAAUGCAUAUGAAAGUGAUGACAGGCUGGGUUUUUUUUAUAUAAAUGUAUCUUAAAAAAUACACAAUAAAUCUGGGAUUUGCAUACAAUAACUCCCUUUGUCUUUUAGCUAUGUGCCCACACACUUCUCAUUUAGGAAAUGUUACAUUGAAAAUUUUUGAUUUUACUGGCAUGGUAAUUUUAUAAGGGUCAAACAUUUAAAUCUUGAGGUACAAACAAAAAACUACUUGAAAAUUUAUUAUACCCACAAUGACAUUUUUUAAAAAAGAAAAUCAAUUAGUUAAACAUGAAAAGUCAGUUCUGGCCAAAUUAAACUGUUAUAUCAUAUGCAUGUAUGAAUAUGUAACAAUGAAUCCCACCAUUAUGUAUGAUUAUAAUACAUCAAUAAAAAGUAUGGAAAAAAACAUGAAAAGUCAGAAUGACAAACAGUAGGUAUUUGGGAGUUCACAUCUAUAAAAGAAAAUACAAAAUUUUAUAAAAUAAAAAAUUUUAAUUUAAAGCUCUUAUAGCUAGAAAAUAGUGGUGGAAAGACUCAGGGACAUAAUGAUAAAUUUAACUACCAUGGAACUAUUGAGAUUACUAUGGCUAUAUGAAAUAAGUUAAAAAUCAGUAGUUAUCUUACGCUAAAGAAGAACAUUUGUGAACAUUCAUGUAUACCAAUUUAUAUUAGCUCUUUUAUACAACAAAAUUUGUAGUCCUUAAGUACAGUACUUCUUUCUGGAGGAGUUAUGCUUGGAGAAUUUUCUUGAAGGAAAACAAUGAAUUCAAAUCUCUAGACAUAGCUUACCUUUUGCUAUAAAUCUAAGUGAAAACUGGACAUACACAGUAUUGGUGCAAUCUAGAUCUCUUGAAAUAAGCAUCCUCAGUCCUUCCUGAAAACAAAAAUAGACGGGUCAAGCAAUCUUGUUUCAUUUGCAAAGUUAUUUUCCUCUGAUUUUACACAUUUAACUUGCACUAGUUAAAUAAUUACCUAUCAUGAUCAAGAAGCAAAAUUUUGUCCAAUUCAAAAGGAGAAAUUGAACAAUCUUCAUUCCCUCUUUCAUAAUGGUCUCCAUUUCCUGUGUGUGAGUAACCCAAUUGCAUUGUCUCACCUCGGAAUCAUAGUUUGCUGUGACUUUUAUAAAAACCAGCACAAAUGAUAGCAUUAUAUAUCUACAAGACUUUUUAAAAAUAGCCUCCUUUGAUCACAGCAUGUCGUGAAAGAAGUAAGGAGAAAAGCAGAUGGAAAAUGUGCCAAGGGCUCCUGCUGGAGGCCGGGAACUAAUAGGUAACUUUCUCAGGGUUCUGAGGAGUCUUAGAGACUCACUACUCCCUUGUCUGCUCUGCCAGCCCCAGGAGGCUCUCAUUCAGACUGACACAACACCCCCCAGUUGGUUGGGUUAAAUAAGGCAUAAGUAAGGCAGGUCCCCAGGCCUGGGCUGUAAGCAUUCAUGCAGAGAAGCCAAGGAAUGAGGAAAGAGAGCACAUUAGCUUUCGUAAUUUUUUCUGCUAAUUAGCUAUUUCUGGUUGCCUGAGAUUGACAGUUUGAAAGGUUGUUUUCUUCACGUGUACCUACUAUUGUGGUGACAGCCAGUAAGACAGAUCUCACUAUGCAAAUGUCCCAAUGUCUAAACAGGCUUUUGAGUUUCUCAGCUGUGACUUCAUUGUAGUGACUCUUCAGUGGUCUAUAGCUAUACUACUAUAAUACUGUGGGUUCUUUUAGAGUUCUUUUAGAGUGGACACUGUCAACUGAUUUCUUAAUUAUCAGCUAGCAAAUACCAGACCUAAUGAUAACUAGAAAGAGCAAAUUUCCCUCUUUUUCUUAUCACUCAUUAUAGCUCACAACCUUCAGUAGCUUAAAAAUGUUAAAGCUACUUUCACAAUAACAAUCAUAUACUGACUGCCUAUUACAUGCUGUGUUCUGAAAAUAGGCAUUUUAGCUAUUUAAAGCAUCUAGUACCACUAAGAGAAAGAUACUAUUAUUCUUUUGCAGAAAAAGAAGCUGAAAUGCAGAGAGAGACAGUAACUUGCUCAAAAUACAGUCGAUAAGGGAUAAUGGUAAGAUUGGAACCCAGAUAGGUCAGAUUCUGAAACUUAUCUUCCAUUCUCUAUAAGAUAUCAGUGUUUUGUCUACUAAGCCAUCUCAUCUCUAGGUGUGGCAAGAAGAAAUCCAGAUAAUACUACAUUUCGAAUUUGACAGUUGUUUGGUAUUGUAAUAAAAAAGCAACCACAUUUAUUCCCACCUCUCAACUUCACACCCCACUGAUUCAUACUGGUAGAAUUGAAGGUUACCAAGUAAAAGCCUUCUAUUUCCAGUCUUCAUUUUUCUUUUAUGCCUAAUAAUUCUCUGCCUUGCUCAGUCCAUGAUGCUUCAUCUCAUUCCUGUUGUUCAUGUCUCAGCAUCUUUUCCUUCUUCCUUCUAUACGUGAGGGCAUUAAGCUGUGGGUUCUUUUAUAGCUCAGUGCCAUGCAUAGGUUGAGGUUAAGAGGAAGGCUUGUAAUGAGCUUUGAGGUGAACAGCUGAUAGACUCAGCUAAUAAAUAUGCCUUUCCAACAUCAAGAUAAAGGAAAUGAUUACUCUGCCCCUUUGAUCAAGGAAUAUAAGUAUAAAAUUGUUCCCACAGGCAAAUGCAAGUCACCCAUAAAAGAAUCCAUUUUCUAUUUUUUUUGUAGGAGCAAUUUUGUUGAAAGUGUGGGUAUAAUCUGUAAUCUAAAAGUAUCCUUCUUUCAUAUUUGCAGUAUUUGUCUAUAAUUUAGUACUUGAUAUUGAUAUUUAUACAGUGGAACUGUCAAACCCUGUUGCCACACAUAUUUGGUUCACACAGAUGUUUCUUUUAUCAUCCUCUUUCCAGUUUCAGUGAUCCAUUUGUGCCAAAUGUGAAGAAUUCUUUUGUAUCCAACAAGCUAUUUUAAUAACUGAUAGUACUCCUGAAUCUAUGAACAUUAAAAAAGAAACUAUCAUUUCCUUUUCACACAAGAAUGCCUUGCCAGGUCAAACUGCAACCUACGGAGUCCUCUACAUCUUGCAGAGCUGAAAGACAGUAAGUCUAAUACGUAUGAUGCUUGGUUGCUCUUGCAUUUGGAUGGCUAAAGGAAAAAUAUAAAAGGACCGUGUAUCUUUCUUGUUUGUAGACUUCAAGGACCAUGUUGAUUCUACUGGUCAGAAAGUUAUCAGGCAAAGGUCUUUGAAUCAUGAAAAGUUAUAGAGCAUCUGUCAGUGGGAUCAGAAGUUCGUUAGUGAUAAGACUAAAGCCAAGCCCCCAGAAGUUUCCACUCUAAAUGUCCUACCUCAAUUGCUUUGGUCCUUCAAAAUUCUUAGGAAUUGAAAUUUCUCAGGUCCCUAAGUAUUUCUUUUCCUUUUUCUCAUCAAAAAACUUGUGAAGAAUUUGGGUUCAAAAAAGAUGAUAACUGCCAACUAUUAACUAUAAUUGAAAAAGUUCCAGGGUGUCUAAUUUUCUGAGUGUUAGGUAUUAGUCAUUAAGGUUGUGUAUAAACCCAUGCAGAUUUUUGUCAAUGAUUUCAUUUGCACACCUCGAUUAGUCAAUUUUCCCAUGCUGAGAGGGAUGGGAUGUAGCAUGUAUUCAUACAUGGAGAUGUGCCAGCUGAGCACAGAUUUUUAUCAACUGCUUAACAUUUCUCUGGUAAGACAUCUAGGGUGAAAUAUGAAAAUAUACUAACAGUGUUUGAGAAUGCCACUUAACUUGACUUAAAUGUUUGGUUUUCUUAAAGUGACCACCAAGAAGUUCUAUCAUCAGGAAGAAAAGUGAAAAGAAAAGAAAAAAGGAAAAACAUUUUCAGAAAACCAUUAAAAAACAGAGCAAACCAAUUGUUUAAUAACAUGAAAGGUUACAUUCCUGGAAAGUAUAUUCUAAGAAUUAAAUGCAUAUUUAUAAUUCCAGCAGGAAGUAAGGAAAAUUUGAUCACCAAAGCAGAAUAAAAUUUCAUGCCCCAGAGAGCAUUAAAAAAAUGACCACUAAGUAGACGAGGAAACAUGUUUUGGGCUAGAAGACAAAAGCUACGUAUAAAAUAAUACACCAUCUGAACAGAUUCAGAAAUGCAUUUGUGUGGAGCAAUGAGUGAAAAGGGGAAUGACGGUAGCAGCUGGGAGUGGUGUAAGGAAGUAGAAUCUUACUGACCCCUUUAAAGAUGAGAGACGUUCCAGAUUUGAUGGUUUCACCAUUCAGAUUCCCCCUCUCUGCACCAUACACUUCAGGCCACAGAUCAGGAUGCAAAUUCCCAUUGAAAUCAUCUUUCAGAAUUGAGGGGAGAGGAACAACAGGAACACAGUAGGGUCCACCAAAGCCCCGGUCACACCUAAGGAAAAAAUGAGUGGAGAAAAGGCAUCAUUUGUCAUGGGUUCACCAUGCCAGGUUUCCUGUGGCAUUGCAAAGAAAGAAAACUUCUGAUUUGAUUAACUUACACACAGCGUCCAGCAUCACAGAUCCCUCUUCCAGAGCACAUCCAAGGGCACCCUGAGGCCAGUACAACAUUAUCAAUAGCCCAGGAAUCAGCACCCACGGUGUAGUUGGCCUGAAUCCAUCUGAACCGGGUCCUGGGAGAACUAACCAAAGAAAACACACCAUUGAUUUGACAAAUAAUUUCCAAAAUAUUUUUCAUCGAUGUGCCCUCUUCCAGGGUCCCACUCUUCUUUGAGGUAACUUAUACUAAGUAGAAGAUGCUGUUUCUUCUUGACCCAUAAAUAGGAGCAGAAAGCAUGCUAUUUAAAUAUUUUACCAUUUCUUUCAUAUAAGAGUCUACAAAUAUAUGUGUGAGAUGGAAAAGUUAUUUUGAACUAUUGAUCAUUGUGUUUUUGAAAUACAUGCAUAUUUUACUUUCAGUGUUUUUUACUGCUACUCAAUACUGGGAAAGAGAUCAAAGUUUAUAAACCUAAGGAAAAACUGGACUCUAAGGAAAAACUGGACUCUUAACAACAUUCUGGCCGUGAGGUUCCUAUUCCAUUGUCCCUAAGUAGUUUCUGAGAGUAGAUGAAGCCCUGUCAUACUUCUGCCUUCUCUCUUGGUUCUCAGUGUUCUGGCUCUCUAGAACUGAGGACUAGGAGGGUGUGAUAUAUUCCCACAGUCUCCACUGUGUUUGCAAUCUGUUAUCUGGAGUAUACUAACAGUCCCUAGUGGAGGAACAGAGGAAGGGCAGAAGAUUGCUAGUUAUCUGGAAUGUGGAAUGAGGUCCACCUGAAGUUGAACCACUCAGGUACUACUGUUUCUCCACACCAGUUUUCUUUUAGUGCCACGUAGCUGUCAGCAAGGUGGCUUUACUAUUAUAUUACUUUUAUCAUGUUACUAUUCUGCUAAACCUCUGUCAAUGGUUCUCCACCAAACACCUGCACACUCAAAGCCAAAUACAGCUUCCCCAGCAUCCACUCCCUCCCCAGGUCCAACCCAUCUUUCCCAAUUUCUUGUCUUAAAAUUAUAUUCUGGCAACUGGAUUUUGUUCUAGCUUACAACUGUUUGAAUGCUCUCCUAUGUGCUGUCACUUGAGUAGACCCUACUCACUCAUACCCAGAUGAGACAACAAUUCCUCCAGGAAGCUCCUGCCAAUACCAUCAAGCUAAAUCAGGUGCCUUGCUCUGGAGAAAGCCAGUGAAGUAAGGCAACCUAUGGACAGGUCUAUACAGAGAAACUCUAAAGCCUCUUGCCAAAGCCAGAGAAGAACGGAAGCCUCUGCCAACAGCCAUGUGUACCGAAAGUAGGAGCUGCGUGGCUCAGAAGGUACGUCCUUCCCUUGGUCUCCGCUCCUUGCCCUCUCCUCACUAGCUUCUUCAGGAGAGUCACAUAUACCUUCCGGCAGCAACAAGAUCUACAGGGAUGAAACCUCAAUUCCAGAGGACAAUGAAGAAGUGCCUCCCAGAGAAGAUCAACAAGGGGAGUUAGUCCUGGACUAAAUAAAAAAAAUACCACCCUCUGAAACUAUAAAUGACAGCACUCUCCACAGAAGGCCUGCAACAGCGAGUCUGCCUUUGGUUAUGUGCCAGAGGCAGCCAGAGCACAACAAGCUGAGAAGGAGGCUUUGAAGUUGCUCCCAGGAAAAAUUCAGAAAUUAUUUUGAAGCUUAUAAUGUUUUCUUCAGUUUUACUCUUUAAUCUCAGUUCCCUUUUCAUUUUUGCUUAUAGUAACAUUCAAAGGUGACUGUGGUUAGAAAAUACUUCUUUUGCAAUGCUUUCUUUGGGCAGUCUUCCAUUUAUUAUAAGUUGUAUUUUUGCUUUAAAUGCAUACAAUUAUACUUCUUUUUUAAAAUUUACUUUUUAGUUGUAGUUGGACACAAUACCUUUAUUUUUAUGUGGUGCUGAGGAUCGAACCCAGGGCCUCGCACGUGCUAGGUGAGCGCUCUACUGCUGAGCCCCAGCCCCAGCCCCUACAAUUAUAUUUCUUUUCAAACAAAAGUAAUGUAAAGGGCGCAGGGAGACCCUGCAGCCAAGUGGUUAAGAGCCUAUGUUUAGGUUUUGGAGAAUGACUGCCAGAGUUUGAAGCCCAACUCUAGCAACUCCUAGCUGUGUGACCUGAAGAAAUUUAUAGUCUCUCUGUACCUCAGUUUCCUCAAAUGUAAGUAGAUUUUAUAGUACUAUGGCACAGGGGUUAUGUUAGAAUUAAAUGAGGUGAAAUAAAAAGCACUUACUUCAGUGCUUAGGAUGAAGAAGGGUCCCAAGCAAUGUUCAUUAUGGUUGCUAUUAAUAAUAAAUCUCUAGGGAGUUAAAUUUGUGACAUCAUAUUUUCUUCCUUAAGCAGCUUGAAACUACAAAAUAUAUUUUUUAUUUAAAUUUUUUUUAGUUAUUUGUGGACACAAUACCUUUAUUUCAUUUUAUUUUAUUUUUAUGUGGUACUGAGGAUUGAACCCAGUGCCUCACACUUGCAAGGCAAGUGCUCUACCAUUGAGCUACAACCUCAGCUUUACAAAAUAUCUUUACCUCAUGUUCCUAAAUGGCAAAAUCUUACAAUUCUUAGACUUAAAGAAGAAUAAACUCAGCAUUUACUUCUUUGAAAGAAUCACAUGAAAUUAUUGACUAGAGACGAACAUUAUACAAGCAAACCAUUAAACUCAUGUAUUUGGCCUUACCAGUGUACCCCAGGUCACAGAAACACACGCCUGAGAUGCAGUCCCCAUGGCCACUGCAGUAACUGGGACAAGGCUCAGAUAUGUACACUCCAUCUAAGCCAAACGGAGGCACGUUCUUCUGUGAGCUGCUCUCCUGGAUCCACCGAAAUCUGGUUUUGCUGUUGGGAGAAAAAAACUCACAUCUGUUUCCUCACACACAGCCUUGGGAUAUAGACAGUUCAGGAAAACUCAAGAGAGAUUUAAUAUUUAUUUCAAUGUCAUGCGUGUUCUACCCCAUGUGUAACCUUCAUAAAUUGUCUCUCCGAGAUCUUUCUCACAAUUUCUUGAUUUUUUUCCAGCAUAAAUGUUUCAAUACCAAGAGGAUAUUAUUAUUAUUUUUUUACAUAAAAUUUUUGAUGGCCAGAAAUAUCAUAGGUUUUUAUCUGCAUAAUUUUCCAUCCUAGGUUCUUUAAGUAAUUAAUAAAAACCAGAGUGAAUCCUUUCUUUUCUUUUACUUAAUAUUUCACCCUUCCAUCACCCUACUUUUAUGGAUAUUAUGGAUUUGGUAUUUUCAGAAAAGGUUACUUGGGAGUUUUUGAAACCUUCAAAUACAAUGUUCUUCUUUUGUUGGGACAUAGAAGAGGACUCUGGCCAUUGACCAUUGAAAUGAUUCAGGUAGAGAAGAGUUAAGUUUAUAAUGACAGCUCUCCAACCAUCUCUGCUUCCUUCUUUUACUCCUCAUGUUUAUUCCAUGAACUCUUAACAACCAGCUGGGCUGCCAAUCAACACUGGUACUGCCUAUGAACAAAAAAGGGACCUAGUUCCAAGACUUCAAAAUCCUACAAACCAGGAGGCGAGGAAGCUGCUCAGUCUUUUUCUCCCCCAGUACAGUAGUUCUGGCCAGAACUGGGGAAGCAACCCUGUUUGCAGAUCCUAAGGUUCCUACCAAUUCAAGAAACAGAACACACUCUGAGGUAUUUUGAGAAGGUAAAAGAUCUCUCAGGAGUACAGUAUUACAGAAUCCAUAUUAACAAAACAAAACUGAACCAAGCUCUGUCUUUAGUGGACUAAUCAUUUGAUUAAGUAGGUUAGUCCAGGACAUGAUGAAUCAUAAUUGGGAGUUCUUGAUGGAAGACUUUUUCAGAAUGAAGAAAAACAGAUGGAUCUUCUUUUACUUCUUCUAGUCUUUGCUACUUGGCCUUUAGUUGGAUGGUGCAAAUCAAAUCAACAAAACUUCCACUAGCCACAAGAUAAGCAAGAAGGGUCUAUAUUUUUGUCCCAUUCUCUAGUUUUCACCUUUGUCUGGAGGAUGCCUGCAUGAACAGGAGAACUGGUUUCACCCUUCCACCACCACACAGCUCAGAGAUGUUGCCUCUACAUCUCCAAACUAGGAAGAUUCCUGUGUACCUGAUGUUCUGUGCAGAGAUGCACAUGGGGUGGGUAGUGAAGACAUUCUUUUUAAAAAUUUUUUUUAUUUUAAUUUUUUAGUUGUCGAUAGACCUUUAUUUUUUUAAUUUAUAUGUGGUGCUGAGGAUUGAACCUUGUGCCUCACACAUGUGAGGCAAGUGCGCUACCGCUGAGCCCCAGCCCCAGCCCUGAGACUUUCUUUAGAAUACUAAGCAAUGGUGUCAAGACACAUUCAUGGACUAUGUGUGGACCAAACUGGCAUCACAGCCAAUGAAUAGGAAAAUCUGGUAUCAGAGAACUUCCAGUGGGAAUCCUACUGGUUAAGACCACACAAUUUCAUGUGAAUUUCUUUUUUUUUAAAUGUUUAAAAUAAUUCCAUGUGAAUUUCUAUUCAGUUCUGCCAUGUUCUACACAGCACUAGAGACGGGGUGACCUGCUGUAGCCACUCAGCCUCUCAGAGAUGGGUAUAACCUGCCAAGAUGCCAAUCACCCUGUUGACUGCAAGACAUCAUGAAGCAAGACUCCACCCCUAAACCUUAUGCUUGCCUUUGAUAUACCCCCUUAAAUAAAACUACCAGAGCCAUUUUAGUUGUUCAACUCCAGCGCCUAUAUGGGCUGGACCUAACAGGCACUCCAAGCUUCUUAAAACUAUAAUUCUGACUUUGUCUUUUUUCUUUACUAAUUAUUUUAGACUUUAUUUUCCCAGGUGGUUUAUCCCCUCCUAAUCAGGAAAAAUUACCCUGGCAAGGUGCUGGCCACCUUGUGAUAUGCAGACACCUGUUUCAGAGCAGACUUGCAAGCAUACAGUCUGGAUGGGGAGGCCUCUGAGAUCUGGGAGAGACCUAUCAACACCAGUGUCCCUCCUCUGUAGGCAAGAACUAAGUGAACUAAUAGAAGCACAAAGGGCUCCUUUGAGAAAAUUGGCUUAGAUUAUUUCUGAAAGAGCAAUGUUCUGGUAACUAUUAUAAGCAUGUUGCCUCAUGGCAAAAUAGCUCCAAUUUUAACACUUAGAAUUCUCAGCUUUUGAACACUGCGUUUGGAGAUAUCUGAGUUUAACAUAUUGCAGAAGGAACAACAACAGCUCAUUUACUUGGGGUAAAGUAGAAACAUAUUUACUAUUCUUUAGCAGAGGGCUCUUCAUCACAAGUGCCAUCAACCAGCAAGCUGGAUAGUAUCCAAAUUAAGCAGGAAGAAGCUGGAUUCUAAUGGAGAAGAUUUAUUCUUCUAAAAACUGAAGUCCAACAAAAUACUGAUAUAUUGGGAGCCUCAAAUUAUUGGCUCAUUUUGUGAUGCUAAAGAUGAUCUUUUCUUACUUCUCACAUGUAGCUUUACCAAUUGGGUUAUUCCACCCAACAUCAAACCAACUGUAGUUACAGCUUCAGCUCCAUAUUUCUGGGUUUAGAGAAAUCAAGCCAGAUUGGUGUUCCUUGGCUCCUGUUUGUAAUUAUCUGCCGUUACAGUGAUGUCUCCCAGCACCAUGAUAUUAUUGUUGUAGCAAAGAUGUACCACUUGAUGUUCCUUAGUUACACCUCUCUUGGGAAGAGCUGUGGUUAGGCCAUGGUUUCAGAAAUCAUGGGGAGAGGAAGGCAAAGGCGGCACUGUUAUGGGCACAGCUUGUGAUGGGCAAGAAGCUGGAUGAGAUCCCUAUUUAGCAGAAAACACAGACAGGUUUUUAUGGAAAAGGAAAGGUGGUUCAGAGGAUGAAGCCCAGAAGGUAGAAGCAACAGCUGAGAAGAACAAUGAAUUAGAGAUUUGUCUUAAUGAAAGAAAUUUUCCUAUCCUAGGCCUGGCUCUGAGAGGAGGGAGUCCUACUCACAAACCACUUGUUGGCUUUCUGAAUUCCUAUGGCCCAGUGACUGCUGUGUGCCUCAGAUCUCCACCUUCGCUUUUUAGUGUGUUUUUCUUUGUUUGCUUGUUUUUAUUUUUUUUGAACAGUUAUCCUGUCAUUAUAACUUGACUUUACAGGUUGGUAUAGAUCAAAAUAUUUGGGAGUACGUGACACUGUGAUGGGCUAAGACCUUGGGGGGUCUUGGAGGAUAAUGAAUGUGUUGUGCAUGUGGGAGAGAUUUGAGUGAACAGAGGUAGGACAGAUGAUGUUAGAUUGUAACCAUAAUGAUCUCCCCCAAUUAAUCACACCUCCGUUUGUACAUGUUUCUCUGUAAUGUGACUUUUAUGUACUUCCUAUCAAAAAAGAGGAGUCUAUUUCCCAACCUUCUGCAUGUUGACUUGUUUUGUAAAUUUCUUUGACUGGCAAGAUGUGGCAAAUUAGAUGAUUUCUUGGGACUCAGGAACCACCUAACUGAAAAAUACUGGGAAGAAGACCACAAAGGAAGGAAGGUUCGGCUGUUCCUAGACACUGACUCAUCAACUGAAUGCAGCUACAUGAAGGAGGCCGGGAGAGAGACAAGUAGACCUGCCCAGGCAACCCCACAAACCAACAGAGAUAAUAAAUCAUUGCUUUUUUAAGUCACUAAGCUUUGUAGAGGUGUGUUGCCUGACAAUAAAUAACAGCACAAUAUUAUCCUAGGCUCAGCUAAGGAAUAUAGACAAAGAGUAAGGCUGAAUUCUGAAAAUAAUAAUGUAUCUCUGCAUCCUUGACUCUCUUUUCCUUUCAAUGGUUAGGAGAUGACAAAAUCUGGAAAGGCUGCCUCGGUUCCAAAGAUGGAAGUCAUAUGCUCAGGAUGUCAGAGUCAACCUGUCAACUCUGAACUGCUCAUCUUUGGACCAUGAUAUAAGAAAGAAUGAACUACUUUGUUUAAAUCUUGCUAAGCAUCUGUGUUUGUGAGUUUCUGUGUUACAGUCGUUGGCCAGAUCUGUAUUUUAACUAAAGCAGACUACCAAAUUCUUAAUUUCAUUAAAAAAGGUAGACUCAUCAACCCUGCUACCUGAACAUCAAAGACCUAAAGCAUUUCAGUCUCACUUUGAUAAACUACAAAGAACACUGACAUAUGAAGAUAAAAAUUACUUAUAAGUUGACUUGGAUCCACUGAUUGAAAUAGCUAAAUGGCUAUGUCUUGAAAUAGAUGGUGUUUAAAGAUUAUGUUUCAAGGUUUAUCAGGCUAGCACAGAAACUUUUACAUCUUUAACCAAAUCAGUGCCUUUCUUUUUCAGGAAGUGUUCCUACAUGAACAUUGAAGGUGUCAUUUUUUUAGGUAUGAAUGCCUAAGUAAUGAUGGAGGCAGAGACUACAGCCAGCUUCUCUAGCUGAAUGAUGCAUAACAAAUUUUCUGAUCAAUUAGGUGAAAGAUUUCACAGACAGAAUAGUCUCUAAAAUUUUUAUGAAUAAGCCACUUAUUCAUAAAAUUGCUAAGCAUCUGCCAUUAUAUCAGUCAGGGUGAAAUGGUUACUGUGGUAACCAACAACUCCCAAUCUUGUAGUUUAAACCAACAAAAGUUGAUUUCUUGCAUGUCCAGUGUAAGUUGGCAAGGAAGUCUGGUUAUUGUAGAUAUUCAGGGACCCAGAGUGAUGCAGGCUUUGUUUCAGUGAUGCUUCUAUGAAGCAGGGACAUAGAAAAAUGCACAUGAGCUCUUAAAGUCAGGUUUCAUGUCCAUUCACGUUUCAUUAGGCCAUGAAAAACUUCAAAGCUGUGGGGGAAAGUAUAACCCUACCUUGUUCCAGGAAGGAAGAAAGUUGGAAAUAUUUCUUAAUUACCCUACUGAGUAUCCCAACCACAUGCUGCAUCAUCAGGAAGCAGUGCAAACAGACUUUUUAUAUCAUCUCAGCUCUGAACCCAGCUGCCUUGACUAAGUUACAGUUAAGGUUACAUUCCAGAAUUCAAUUAAGUGUCGACUUGGGCUGGGGCUGUAGUUCAGGGCAGAGCGCUUGCCUUGCAUAUGUGAGGCACUGGGUUCGAUCCUCAGCAUCACAUACAAAUAAACAAAUAAAAUAAAGACAUGCUGUCCAUCUACAACUACAAAAAAUAAAAUAGAAAAAGAAGUGUUCACUUGAAGAAUGUUUCUUUCUUUCUUUUUUAAAUGAUAGAGUUAAAGAUAACCAUCUUUGUGGAACCUAUGCCAUCUGGUACAAAGAUGCUAUGAAUUAAUUCUAGAAUACUGAACCUGGAAAAAAGUGCAUUUUAAAAAUUGGAAUAUUUCUAUUUUCCUUUUUUUUUACUUAACAAUGAGAACUAAAUUGUGCUAUAUUUUCCCCCUUUGUUCUAGCUUCCAGGAAGCUAAGAGUUCAAAUUGUUGCCCUAUUAAUGAAACAGGUUCACUUCCAAUUCCC